rnacentral:rRNA from 1 species
AUGGGCGCAAGCCUGAUCCAGCCAUGCCGCGUGCAGGAUGAAGGCCUUCGGGUUGUAAACUGCUUUUGUACGGAACGAAAAGCCUUUUUCUAAUAAAGAGAGGUCAUGACGGUACCGUAAGAAUAAGCACCGGCUAACUACGUGCCAGCAGCCGCGGUAAUACGUAGGGUGCAAGCGUUAAUCGGAAUUACUGGGCGUAAAGCGUGCGCAGGCGGUUAUAUAAGACAGUUGUGAAAUCCCCGGGCUCAACCUGGGAACUGCAUCUGUGACUGUAUAGCUAGAGUACGGUAGAGGGGGAUGGAAUUCCGCGUGUAGCAGUGAAAUGCGUAGAUAUGCGGAGGAACACCGAUGGCGAAGGCAAUCCCCUGGACCUGUACUGACGCUCAUGCACGAAAGCGUGGGGAGCAAACAGGAUUAGAUACCCUGGUAGUCCACGCCCUAAACGAUGUCAACUGGUUGUUGGGUCUUCACUGACUCAGUAACGAAGCUAACGCGUGAAGUUGACCGCCUGGGGAGUACG